UGGGUGCCAUCAGAAUGAGAGUUCAAACAGCUGAUAAAAACUUCGCAGUAAUCCACAUGACUCCAGUCCAUCAAUUAAUGUCUUGUUAAUUG